rnacentral:tRNA from 1 species
GCGCUGGUAGCUCAGUUGGAUAGAGCAUCUGGCUACGAACCAGGAGGUCGGGGGUUCGAAUCCCUCCCAGCGCGCCA